rnacentral:tRNA from 1 species
UAGCUCAGUCGGUAGAGCAUGAGACUCUUAAUCUCAGGGUCGUGGGUUCAGAUAUCUCUU